UCCUCCGUGUGAGAAGUGACAAAUUUUGUACCGUCGCGGUGAAAAACAAAAAACGGCACCUCCUCCUCUAAGUCUUCAUGCUCUAAUUAACCGGUGUUUAAAAAUAUCACUGCAGAGGCCACCGGAACAGCCAUUCCGUAACCGCCGCGGAACUGCGCGGGUUAAAGUACCGGCAGCAAAAAAGAAACAGGAGUUGCAGAAAAUGGCGGGAAGCAUAAGUGAUCCUGGAUGUUCUGGAAGUUGCUGCAGUUGCCUCACCGGAAGAAACCCCGGAAACAACCGGCGGCCGCCGCCCAAAAGAGGAAAAAACGCAACCCUGAGGCUGCGGUCACUGGGUGUAAAGGUCACUGCUACAAAGGCCAUACAACGAACAGCGCAUAACAAGGAGGUGGUAAAGGAGCAGCUGGAACCGGAAGUUACUGUGGAGGCGGCGCAGGCCAAACGUUGCCACGGACAGGCUAAGGCUGACGCGACGGAACUGAUAGAGAAGGUGGCCUCGUUACCCGCUAAAAAGUCAAAUCCUUCCAAUGACGUGGCGUAACCGGGGAGUUGAAUUUUUUUUUUCAACUAUUUCCUUAAAGAGCGAACUUUAUGUAGCAUUCAACAUUAAACUCUUUUACUAUCUUCCUCCUUUCAGGUGCAGCUUCUCCUUCCAAAUCCAGCAGCUCCUGCUAAACGAGGGCGCGAGAAGGCAACAGCCGAAUCGGAGGCUGCUGUAUUGCUGUCCCGGAGUGCGUCUUGUAGAUCAAGGUGACAGCCGGGAUAGUAGAGCAGGAUCGGCGUGACUUUAGUCGCGGUGGAGAUCGCCGAGAUGACCGGGGGCUGAAGUGGGCGCAGGAGGACUGUCAUAGUGCCGGUGCCGUUAAUCCGACGCAGUCACCUUUGGAAGUUGAGCAGAUGAUCAGCGGCGCAUGAUUUUGAGAAAUCUAUGUUUCUAAAACUCUUAAAUUCCUCAUAUUGCUUCAAUUCAGUUUUGUAUUUUUUCUUUCUUAUCUCUUGUAUUUUCUUCUAGCUUUGAAUUCUUGAUGAGUUUAUUCCUCUACUGUCUUGAUCUUUAUUUUUGUAAUGUUUCAUUUUACUUUAUUACUUUUUUAUAUUUUAUCAUAUUAUUUUUAAUUAUUUUAUUAUUUUGUUCUUUUUUUCUGCAUGGAGGAAAAGCUGGCGGCUUCGUCACAAGGCUAAGCUGGAGGGCCGACGGGGAGGUUGAGAAAUUGGAGCAGGAGUAGGAGACGCAGAAGGCCAACUCAAACGUGGACACGAUGAAGUUAAAGCUACAGACUGUCUAGGGGAAACAGACUGGCCGAUGCAAAAUAAAUAGGCACUGGCAACGUAUGUUUUGUGCUUGCAACACUGCCAGUUUUGCUGGGCGUAAAGAGCGUUUGGUGUCCAGCGCGUUUGGAUCUGUCAAACAUUGGCCAAACUGUUUCCUAGACAAACUGUAGUUAAAGCUGGCGGAGAAGAAAAUCAUAAGAGAUCAGAUUUCGGCGUUGGACGCGGUUACUGCGAAGGUGCCCAAGUUAGGACUGAAGCAUCAGUUAAACGGAAAGGAGACCGAGUUUCGACGCGUUCGAGCGAAACGAGGAGCAGACGGUCGAGUUCUUUAUCAAGCCGAUACCGCCAAUGAGGCCAUUAAGCUCGAUUCGGUGGUGACCGGUAUCUGUGUGCUGAUAACCGUGGAGAAGCGUAUCACGUGCUGUUGACGGGACCGACCGAGGUGCAGAAGAUCGUCUAGGUUGACCGGCACAUCGGUUGUGCCAAGUCAGAACCAAUGGCCAAUUUGACGACCAAGUUUGGCAAGCGGUGCCACUCUGAGGACGAAGAACUUGACGGCUUUGUACGAGAAGGUAGCGGAGUCGUUCAUCACUUUGGUUGUUGAAGCGGCGUCGUCGGCUUAGGCAGCAUUGAAGUUGUCGGAAUCAUGGGGCGUAGAUUCGUCUUCUCCGUCGUUAGACCAACUUGUACGCUAGAAACGCGCCCAAAUCUUACGGAAUGUUAUCCAAUCUGCGCGGGUUCGCGUUUGGUCAAUCGUCAAUUUGAGCCAUUCGCUCGAGGUCAACGAGCGUAUCCUGAUACGAAUGAAGAACGCUGCGGGGUUGAGUGCGGCCAGCGCGGAAUUAUUGCGAUGCUCUCGUCGGUUGGUCCCGAGGGUUGAUCCUGGACAUGAACCGCUCGCUGAGUGUCCUUCUGCUGGAGAACCAUGUCAGAAGCCAAAGAGGCGGCCGAAGCAAAAAACACAAGCCCGAGUAGGAGGAAGAAGCUGCAUGGCAGGCCAAGGCCAAAGCUAAACGUUAACAGCCCGUACAGGAAGCGAAAUUCGAACGCAAAAAGUGAAUAGGAAGGACCGGAAGGACUCGCCAGAAAGCCGUGCAGGAACGCAUGGAGACCGAGAAGCGAAAGUUUGCGGAGGAGCAGGCCAAGACUGCUGCAGCGGCCGCAACCAACGUCAAGCGUACCUACAGCGACCUCAAAAUGGACAAAUUGCCGCCGGGAACGGACUAACCUAACGGAGUAUGGCGAUGGCAAGGGAUCCGACGUGUCGACCGGGCCGAGGGAUAUACAUUUACCACACUGUUAACCUAAAGUACCGUAAUCUGGGGCGAAUCGGGACUACAGUCUGAAUAGGGACAGCCGUUUUUAGAGCACUUAAAGCUUUUAAAUUUGGAAAUGGAUGUACACAUUUUGUUGGUCUGAGUCUGUUCUAUCCGAAACCAACCAGAAAAAUCAAAAUAUUGUGCUCCAACAUGGUUAAAACUGCUGUCCCAAUUCGCCCCAUGUGUCCCGAUUGACCCCAGUUUACGGUAAUAAUAAUUAAAAUAAGGGGAAUCGGGGUUGGGAA